UGUUUUUUAAACUGCUUCUGUGCUUGCUGUAAGGGACAAUCAAUAAGACACUUAAAACCCUGCUACAGAAACCCCUACAUUCAUGAUUUAAUGCAGAAACCCAAUUCCGUUAGCUAUUCACGGAGCAGAUGCUGCGACUUAACAUGUAUCUGUCUGUAGGCUUGGCCCUUAAGAAGAAAAAUACCAAACACCUAAAAACAUUAGAGCAUCAACCAAAGAACCACACUAGGCAAACAGCUGCCUUAAUGAGAAGCUGAUAAAAAGGGGGGUAAAGACUCACUGAAACUUGUAUUUCUAUGAAGUAUAAUUUCCAGCAAAGGCCUCUUCAGUGACCCACAUUCAUAGGCUGUGACCCUCCGUUCAGUGCACAGUGUCUAGACUGCCUGAAAUAAUAAUUCACUUCUCUACCCAAGGAGCUCAAAGUGUUUUAACAGAUCCCUUUUGGGUAUGUAUUGCUUUUACCAGGGGCAAAAUACAGAUGUUAACGGCAUGACUGUUAAAUGCAGAGUGGAUCCUCUGGUCUCUAGAAGACUCUUUGUCUAGUGGGGUUUUAACCUGUCAAAUGAUGCACUUCAAAAAAUCCCCAAAACGACAAAAAGCCCAACUCUAAAACCUAAAUAUAAACCACUGUUUAAGGGGGGAAACCCCCAAACCCAAGAGUGAUGCUCUCUGAUCUAUGGAGUGAUGAUACUGAUCUGUGUAGUCUCUCUCCACAGGAUUGCCUGUUCUUCCCCUGCUCGCUGGAGCUUUGCAGGGCCUGAUUUUGAUUCUGGCAAGAAUAUGCAGAAACAAGAAGAGAAAAAAUAAACCCUUUAGAAAAUAACCUGCUUGGUUCUGCGUGGGCCUGCUGCACGCAUCCUGCCUUCCCAGGGACUCCUGAGCAGCUUCUGAAGAUCCGAGCAUGCCAGAGCUGUAAGUGUUCGCACUGAUGGCUCUUUUCCUGCCGCUGGGGUAUGUAAUAUCAUACAAACCUCUUGCUUAACUGAGCCUUCACUCAUGUGAGGGUGCAGAAGUAGGGUGCUGCAGAUGGAGGCACAGCAGAUAAGAAAUGUAUCUCCCUUCAUUUCACAUCCGCUGAAAGAAACCUGAAGCCAGGUGGGGUGACUUUCACCCCCCAUCUGCUCCAGGUAAUACAAUAGCCAUUUGCAAUUCUCCUUCAUAAACCAAACCCAAAGCCUGACUAACAAAUGUAAUAGGGAAAACACUCUCCCAGGACAGGUCAGGAGCACAUUCCAGGAGAUUGCUGUUGAUGAGGAUAAAUACAGUACUUGUGUUCUGCUCAGACUGUACUUUCUGGUAACACGGUACAUUACUGCCUGCAUCUUGUGUUGGCCAUCCCCACUGCUCUUGUUUUGCACACACAAACCUCAGCUACAAGUUCAGCCAGCCUCAUGCAAUUGCAUAGAGAAACGUGCCUGCAUUAGAAACAACUGUUGAAGGCAACGUUAGCACCUCUUCAUGAGGGGCCUCAACACAUGAAGGGCUCCAAGAUGAGGGACCCAUAAAAGCACAAUGCGUCCAAGUCAUUAUCUCAGUUCCUGGAAAUCUGAUGGGCUCAGACCAGCUGAAAUACUCAGCCUCUGAACCCGCCCUCCCACAUGGAAGCUGACCUCCCUCCUGUUUAACCCACCUAGGUCUAACUCUAGGACACACAUGGGAAGAUGCUUGUAUUCCUGUUGCCUGAAGCUUUAUCUCCUUUCUUUUUCUAGGGCUCCAAUUCAGCAAGCACUGAGCAAUGCCAGUUUAAAACAUUUCAGCCUGAGGGUGGUCUGGGAUGCUGUGUUUGUCUUCAGGGUCACACAAAGCCAGCUUUCAGGUUCCACAAAGGCAUGCCCUUUAAAAAACCCUACGUCAUGAUGAUAGAAUUUGAAUCUCUGAGUUCCUGAAGCUUCAGCUGGAGUCAACAGGUAUCUGGGACACUGGGAAGCAGUCUGCAGAGCAUCAGUGGUUUGCAGGACCAGGCUGCAGCUCUCUGUCAUUUACUCUUCCUGGAGAUAACUGGAGAAGCCCUUUUGAAAGGAAUGAGCUGGAGAGUAGAGUGAAUAACACAGGAACGUGUCUCACCAGGGGCCUGGUCCUGCCCCUGCUCAAGACCUUCAGCUGUGACCGUACC